GGGCGCAUAGCUCAGUGGAAGAGCACUCGGUUUACACCCGAGCGGUCGGCAGUUCGAACCUGUCUGCGCCCACCC
rnacentral:tRNA from 1 species